UGAAACUCCAGUGUACUGUGUGCUCCUCCUUCUUCUAUCUCCAUCCAUCCGUGUGAGAGAGCGGUUCCAACGUCCACACAUGUCCCAGAGCUCCUUCCAUGACGUCUCCGUCGUCCUCUUCCUCCCCUGCUUCAUGGACAGCACAAGACCGACAAGUUGCGCAGCUCGUCAUCGAUGUUCCUCCGCAUCCCCGGUCUCAUCCUCAUGUACUCUGUACGCUAGUUGCAGGUACCGGCGAGACCGAUGCAGGUGAUGCCACUGAACUCAAGUGGGAGUUCGACAAAGACCUUGGCCAUUACUAUGUUUCCUUUCCAGAUGAUCAAUAGUGGUGCCCAGUAGGGUCGAUCGGGACUUAGCUUGGGUGGUUGUCUUUUAUUUGUUUGAUUUCGUCCGUAGCUAGACUCUGUGUUCAUCUUGAAUGAUUGUAUAACUCGAUGAUAUUUGUGUGACAUUGUGGCGAUUGUAAGACAAAGCUUGUAUUCUAUCUAUUCAAUACAAGAGAUGAGCAAAGAUA